rnacentral:tRNA from 1 species
AUCUUCGAUGGCAUGCGUAGAUAUGUACAGCGACUUGCGCGGUAGUUGUUCUGCUGAGAUAGCUCCCGAGAGGUUCGAAUCCUCUCGGGAGUG